rnacentral:rRNA from 1 species
UUGAUCCCUGGUUCAGAACGAACGCUGGCGGGCGUGCUUAACACAUGCAAGUCGAACGCGAAAGGGACUUCGGUCCCGAGUAGAGUGGCGCACGGGUGAGUAACGCGUAAGUAAUCUACCCCUGUAUCUGGAAUAACCCACCGAAAGGUGAGCUAAUACCGGAUACGUUUAUCUUGAUGCGAAUGAUGAUAAAGAAAGGUGGCCUCUUCAUGAAAGCUACCGUACAGGGACGAGCUUGCGUACCAUUAGCUGGUUGGUAGGGUAAUGGCCUACCAAGGCGACGAUGGUUAGCGGGUCUGAGAGGAUGAUCCGCCACACUGGAACUGAAACACGGACCAGACUCCUACGGGAGGCAGCAGUGAGGAAUAUUGCGCAAUGGGGGCAACCCUGACGCAGCGACGCCGCGUGGACGAUGAAGGCCCUUGGGUCGUAAAAUCCUGUCAGAUGGAAAGAAAUGUACAGGUGUUAAUAUCGCCUGUAUUUGACGGUACCAUCCAAGGAAAGCACCGCUAACUCCGUGCCAGCA